GAAAUGUAGACCUUGGGAGGGGCCAAAAUGAUGGCCACUGGGGAAGAUGAGGACGAUGACAGUGAUGAGAAAGAUAAUGGUUAAGUAUGAAAGAUAAGGGUAGUCACUGCUUCCUCAGGACACAGUCCCCCAUCCUGCAAAAUUUAUAUUUAUGCAAGCCAGUGAAUUAGUCCCCAAGGCCUGUUAUCAGUACAGUCUCCAUGCAUAACCAAGAGUUCAGUG